GGAUGACUCACCCCAGUGAUUCAACCGCGCCACCGAGCGCGGAGCUGCCCUGGAGGACGCAGGCGGGUCUAGUUGCCCGGGUCCCCCAAGGCCCCCGGAUUCACCCAGGCCCGCGACUCCGACGUGCAGCUUAGGUGGGUUGCAGGUCUAUGGCAGGAAAGGGAGGGCGCCUUGGAAGAAUUCUUCCCUUCCAUUUGGUGAUAAAGUGGGAGAGGCGGCAUUUACAACAUUUAAUAGAAAGCACGGGCUCUGGGCUCCCCUCGGGCAGCGGAGGGCAUUUCCCGGAUGCUUUGCCCACCUGGGGCAGAAGCUCGGGACCUGCAGCGAAGUAAACGUGUGGCUGUGAGCAGGGCCCUCUCCCAGCCACGGUGGCUUCUUCUACCCCACGAAGGUCAAGAAUACCUGGCCUGCCCACCUCGCGGGGCCCUUAGCGGGUCGCACAGGAGAAAGGCGGUGGGAAUGCCGGUGUCAGCCACGGUGUGACCGGCUCGGCUCACAGGUCUGAGGGUCAGUUGGCUCAGGCAUCGCCCGGUACGACCAGAGAUAGUGACUGAGGAAGAGCAGCCUCACAUCUGGCAGUUUGCCUCUGGGAGAAUUCCAGCGUGACAUCUGCAGCUCUGUGGUUCCAGAAAGGAUGGUUCCCACAUUGAAGAAGACAUCUGUGGGACUGAGUUCCACCGAAAUGCAGAGGAACCAAAAAUGAAAAUGAAAAAUGUAACCAGAGUUGUGUGCCACUAGUUUUAAGCUUUGGUUUUUCUAAAUUAUUUUCUGGCUUCUCCUUCUGGGCUUUGCUGUAAACUUGCCAAGCAUGAGAACAACUCUUCAUCUAUUGAGUGGCAUUUUAAGCCAUCCUGUCAAAGUAUCUCCUGUCAUUUUUAUUAUUAUUACUCUAUAUUGCCUGCAAGACACGACUGGAGAAUUCUUAGUGUAAGAAUUGUUUGUUUCCUCUCUCCUUCUUUCCCACGUUUUCCCAGGGAAGUCAGUCUUGCAUUUUAAUGCAUACUAUAUACAUAUCUCGUUUAGCUUACUGAACCACUUGUUUUAACAGAAUAAAACUGUGCAAAAUUUUAAUUUUCCUCCUUUGCCUGAACUGAAAUAGCACAUCCAGGUUUAGCCCUUGUAGACUUUCCUUCCUCGAAGCAGAAAGUUGCCCUUGAUGAUUUCCUCUUUGAGCUCUCUGCCAGCUCUGAAACCCACAAAAUUUAUGUUUGCAAAACUAAGCCAUGCAAUCCUCUUUUUAUGCAGGCUCUAGCCUGAGUCAUUUUCCCUAA
rnacentral:lncRNA from 1 species